ACUUCGGUCCUGAGUAAAGUGGCGCACGGGUGAGUAACGCGUAGAUAACCUGUCUUCAUGUCUGGAAUAAUACACCGAAAGGGGUACUAAUACCGGAUAUUCUUGCUUUAUAUAAGUUUUGCAAGCAAAGGUGGCCUCUGAUUCAAGCUACUGCAUGUAGAGGGGUCUGCGUACCAUUAGCUAGUAGGUAGGGUAAUGGCCUACCUAGGCGACGAUGGUUAGCGGGUCUGAGAGGAUGAUCCGCCACACUGGCACUGGAACACGGGCCAGACUCCUACGGGAGGCAGCAGUGAGGAAUAUUGCGCAAUG
rnacentral:rRNA from 1 species